AGAGUUUGAUCCUGGCUCAGGAUGAACGCUGGCGGCGUGCUUAACACAUGCAAGUCGAACGAAGCUGUUAAAGGAAGUCUUCGGAUGAAAUUUUAACAGACUUAGUGGCGGACGGGUGAGUAACGUGUGGAUAACCUGCCUUAUACAGGGGGAUAACGGAGAGAAAUUUCCGCUAAGACCGCAUAAGACCACAGCACCGCAUGGUGCAGGGGUAAAAUAUUUAUAGGUAUAAGAUGGAUCCGCGUCCGAUUAGCUGGUUGGUGAGGUAGAGGCUCACCAAGGCGACGAUCGGUAGCCGGCCUGAGAGGGUGAACGGCCACAUUGGGACUGAGACACGGCCCAAACUCCUACGGGAGGCAGCAGUGGGGAAUAUUGGACAAUGGGGGGAACCCUGAUCCAGCGACGCCGCGUGAGUGAAGAAGUAUUUCGGUAUGUAAAGCUCUAUCAGCAGGGAAGAAAAUGACGGUACCUGACUAAGAAGCCCCGGCUAACUACAUG
rnacentral:rRNA from 1 species